UUUUAGAAGCUGAAAGAGAGACA
rnacentral:siRNA from 1 species